AAUCAUUGCAGAACAAAGCAUGAAGAUAAAAGGAUAAGGUAGGAGGAGUUGGUCACGUAAUUAUCUAACUAAGACUAGUUUGGAGGAAUUGUUGAUCACAUCAUCAUCUUAAUUAUUAGUUUGAAGGAAUGAGACAAAAUCAACAUUAUUAGUGACUUAGUGUUGAUACUUCACAAAAUUAUCCGACAAUUAUGAAUACUUUGCAUGAUCAACAAUUUUUUAUUCAAACAAGGUGCUCGACUACUCGCAUGUCAAAUGAUACACUAAAAUAGGGAGAUAGGCGAGCGAGAUAGUCAUGUAUCC